rnacentral:tRNA from 1 species
GGACAGAUGGCCGAGCGGUCUAAGGCGCUGCACUCAAGUUGCAGUCAGCAAUUGGCGUGGGUUCGAAUCCCACUCUGUUCA